AAUGAUUGGAUUUUUUUUCAUGAUUAUUCUUAAUCAAUACAUUCAUACUGAUUCUCACAUUAUCAUUGAAUUACUUUCCUGUUCUCUAAAAACUACAAAACUUGUAUCUACUGAGAGAGUCCUAAUUCCCUUAAUGAAAUGUCAACUUUCUAGAUGUGUUGCAGGAACCUAAUCAACAAACAUUUGCCUAGUAUAUCCACAACUGAAGCACAUAAG
rnacentral:misc_RNA from 1 species